ACUUGGAUAACUGUGGUAAUUCUAGAGCUAAUACAUGCAAACCAGAGUUCCGACCAGAGAUGGAAGGAACGCUUUUAUUAGAUCAAAACCAAUCGGUGGCGGGCUUUGCUCGUCCACCGUUUACUUUGGUGACUCUGAAUAACUUUGUGCUGAUCGCACGGUCUCGUACCGGCGACGCAUCUUUCAAAUGUCUGCCUUAUCAACUGUCGAUGGUAGGUUCUGCGCCUCCCAUGGUUGUAACGGGUAACGGGGAAUCAGGGUUCGAUUCCGGAGAGGGAGCCUGAGAAACGGCUACCACAUCCAAGGAAGGCAGCAGGCGCGCAAAUUACCCACUCCCGGCACGGGGAGGUAGUGACGAAAAAUAACGAUACGGGACUCAUCCGAGGCCCCGUAAUCGGAAUGAGUACACUUUAAAUCCUUUAACGAGGAUCAAUUGGAGGGCAAGUCUGGUGCCAGCAGCCGCGGUAAUUCCAGCUCCAAUAGCGUAUAUUAAAGUUGUUGCGGUUAAAAAGCUCGUAGUUGAAUCUGUGUCGCACGCUGUCGGUUCGCCGCUCGCGGUGUUUAACUGACAUGCUCGUGAGACGUCCUACCGGUGGGCUUAGCUCCUUCGGGGGCGGUCCAACUAAUAUCCCAUCGCGGUGCUCUUUAUUGAGUGUCGAGGUGGGCCGGUACGUUUACUUUGAACAAAUUAGAGUGCUUAAAGCAGGCUAUCAUUUGCCUGAAUAUUCUGUGCAUGGAAUAAUGGAAUAGGACCUCGGUUCUAUUUUGUUGGUUUUAAGAAACCCGAGGUAAUGAUUAAUAGGGACAGAUGGGGGCAUUCGUAUUGCGACGUUAGAGGUGAAAUUCUUGGAUCGUCGCAAGACGGACAGAAGCGAAAGCAUUUGCCAAAAAUGUUUUCAUUAAUCAAGAACGAAAGUUAGAGGUUCGAAGGCGAUCAGAUACCGCCCUAGUUCUAACCAUAAACGAUGCCAGCUAGCGAUCCGCCGAAGUUCCUCCGAUGACUCGGCGGGCAGCUUCCGGGAAACCAAAGCUUUUGGGUUCCGGGGGAAGUAUGGUUGCAAAGCUGAAACUUAAAGGAAUUGACGGAAGGGCACCACCAGGAGUGGAGCCUGCGGCUUAAUUUGACUCAACACGGGAAACCUCACCAGGCCCGGACACCGGAAGGAUUGACAGAUUGAGAGCUCUUUCUUGAUUCGGUGGGUGGUGGUGCAUGGCCGUUCUUAGUUGGUGGAGCGAUUUGUCUGGUUAAUUCCGAUAACGAACGAGACUCUAGCCUGCUAAAUAGGCGUACCUUAUGGUAUCU
rnacentral:rRNA from 1 species